GGGGUUGUGGCUCAGUGGCAGAGCGCUUGCCUCACACACGUGAAACUCUGGGUUCGAUCCUCAGCACCA
rnacentral:tRNA from 1 species